ACUUCCAUCAGGAAAACUUCCGCAAUGUCUGGAGGUCUGGGUGAUCGCUUCCCACCCCCCGACCAGGGGGGCGUUAGGUCUGGCGGCUGAUUCGUUGGGUGCCUAGAGGGAGCCUUGAUGCGUUUACCAAGCUUCAGAUGGUCACAUGGGGUUCGGAGAUCCGGACCUGAGAUUCGGGGAACUUUGUCUGCAGGGUGUGGCUCUGAGAGCGACGUCUGCUCAGGAGGGCGAGAUUGUUGAACCUGGUGUUCCAGGCGUCACGUGUCCAGUCAACAUCGGAGUGACCACUGCUGUGGAACCUGAGGGGUGCGCCGUGGACAGGGUCGGAGACACAGGGGAGAGGGGUUCAGAUAAUGAAGGCGCUAGUCACAAUUCCCGACUGAAACACAAGAGGAAUACAAAUAACAAUGCUAAACUUAAA